rnacentral:lncRNA from 1 species
GAUGGCGGUAUGAGAGAGGUGGGGGGUUGAAGAGGAGAGGAGUGCUGGUGGGGGAUGGGGGCGUGGAUGGUUUGGGAGUGCAAAUGAGCCUGGGCGGGCUUCCCUCCGCCAGUCUCAAGCUGCGAGUCAGACGCAGAAGCUCGCUUGUCUCUAACCCCCAGUGCGCAAGUCAGUGGCAUCACAUCCGGGCAGCUGGGGCUUUCCUUGGUUGAAAGCGGGGGCGGAACCGGGGAUCCUGCCUGGAUGGGGAGCCUGCGCCUGCUUCCCUCCGUGGAUCUCGAGUUGCUGGUCAGACCAAUGCGCAAGUCAGGGAUGUCACAUCCGGGCCACCUGGGUUGACAGCAGGGGUGGAACCGGAUUCGGCCAGGAGUUGAUUUGGGAACCAGAGAACAGCAGCCUAAGUGUGACUGUAAUUUUUGGCAGCUACAGAUUCCCAAGACAACUAGGAAGGGAAAAGGAACCCUUCAAGGAAGUUCCAGGAAAAACGUCUCUCCCAAAAAGACCACCGCUUCAGGAAAACCUGAGGAAGGGAGUGGGCCAACAGUAUCCUGCCACUGUGACCAGCUGAACGAGGAACUCCAUCAAAAUGAGCCACAGCUGGACCAAAACAGUGAGGAGACCUCCACCUUCUUCAGUGUCUCCCUGAGCAGUCAGUAAUUUCAGGGCAAGCUGAGAGGUCUCCAGAGGUCUAACCCCAGAUAAAUAGCCAACAGGGUCUAGAGUACAUUUUAUACCCAACAGGGUAUACCCCAUGGUGAUCAAAAUAAAAUAAACCUGUUGUAAAAUGA